rnacentral:lncRNA from 1 species
AGUCUGGCGUCAUCUAGGUCGCUGCUCAGGGAAAUGCGGAGGCCAGUAGGCUUACGUGUUUACCGCGUAGGGCAAAGCCUUGCCAAAUUCCCGGCCAGCGGAGCGGCGAGGGUGGGGACUCACGGGAAGUUAAACAGCCUCGUCGGCGUCCUCGAGGCUCCAAAACCAGGCUCUAGGCGGGGACGACUGCAGCCGUUAUGGAGGCCACCGCGGCUACGGCCGCGGCUGAGGCCUCCCCAGGUGGAGCGGUGGCCUGGAGGGGAAUCUUGAUCCUGGGCCAGCCACCUGUCAAGAGGAGGCGGAGCGUCAUGCCUCUGGAAGACUGGAUGAAUAUUCUCCAGGAGCCUGACGAAGGCGUGAGUAAUAGGGACGUGCGCCGCCUUGUUGGUGUUGAUCAGUCCACCAAGGAGAAGCAGCUGGUCGCAGUGGCCGUACCUGUAAUCCCAGCGCUUUGGGAGGCCGCGGCGGGAGGAUCGCUUGAGCCCGGGAGUUCGAGACCAGCCUGGGCAACAUAGUGAGAAACCCGUCUCUACCAAAAAGAAAAAAAAAAAAAAAGGAAAAAAAUUAGUGCGGUGUGGUGGCACGCACCUGUAGUCCCAGCUACUCGGGAGGCUGAAGCGGGAGGGUCCCCUAAGUCUAGGAGGUCGAGGCUUCAGUGAGCGGUGAUUGUGCCACUGCACUCCAGCCUGGGCGACAGAGCAAGACCCUGCUUUCCCCUCUUGUCCUCCACUACCCUCAGGAAACCAAGAAAGACCAGCGUGGAGAGUUGGUCGCCCAUCUGCUCUAAGCUGCUGUGUAUUCCCCUGUAAUGUAAACAUCGUGAAGGUGGAGACCCAGUUAACCUUUUAGGUGGAAGGCCAGAUGACAGAGGGCGGCAUCUGACCCGGAAGGCCCUCUGCAACCAGGCCAAAUACAUCUACAGGGAACCAAUGGGAAACAUCUGGGGAGGACAACCCAAAUAAGUAUCAUGCGAGCAAGGGAUGGUUUGAGAACUUUAAAAAUCGCUGCUGUUUUGCAACAUACGAAGUUGAUGGGGAGGAAGGACCCUUAAAUCCUGAGUGGGUAUCGAGUAUUCCAAGCAACUGGAGAGAGGCUUUGUGCCUCAACAGGUCUUCAACGCCAAGGAGAUGACCCAUCUUUUGCAGUGCAUGCCUUCCUACUUUUGGGGCAAAAGACAAAAAUCUGGAAAGCUUAGAGGAAGCUAAGGACAGGAUUUCCCUCAUUUUUUUGUGGCAGUGCCUCAGGUGACAAAAUGAUAAAACCACUGCUGCUUUACAAAGACUCUAACACCCCACUUGUCUUUUAGAGAUAAACGCCUUCCUGUUUUCUUGUAAUCACACCCAGAAUCACCACUGCCACUUUUUGGAUUAGUUUUACAAUUUUUUUAUCCAUCAAAUCCGAAGUCAUUUAACAAAAAAAAUCUGGAAAUCAGAAUGUUGCUAACUGUGGACAGAGGUCCCAAUCACCCAGAUUCAUUAUUCUUUGUUCAUUCUAAUGUUGAUACUGUGUUUCUCCCUCAGGAAGGCCCUAGCUUUCUUCAGCCCUUGGGUCAGGGUAUAACUGAAGCAUUUGAACAUAAUCAAGCAUAUGUUUGACCACUUUGCUGACUGUAUUGAAAAAACCCUCACCUUACUCUGAAAGAAGCAUGGCAACAGUACAAUAUUGCCGAUGCUUUGGUAGUGAUAAAAGAGGUGAUGGGUGAUAUAAAAUCAGCCACUCUUAAGCUUGCUGGAAACUGUGGGAGGAUGUGUGAAUGAUGCAUAUUUCCCUAGAGCUAAUGAAGAAGUUAAAAAAAAUCUUAGUGUCUGCAAAACAGGUGGGUUUAAGAUUUAUUGAUAUUAGGGAAAGUGAAAUUAAUGAGCUACUCAAGUUUCUGUCUUUGGUCAUCACUGAGAGUCUAUUUCCAUAGGAAGAAGUCUUUGCAGAGGAAAUUGAAUGCUGUCUGAUGCUACAAUUCAUAUGGAUCCUUUCCUGGAUUGAAGCCUGACUUUUAAAAAAGGUUUCAAUAAAUUGCUUAUACCUAUGAAGAGAUGCAAAAGAACCUUCAAAAUAAAGCAAAGGACUUGAAGAAAGAGAAGGAAGACAUGAAGAAGAGGAUGUCAUUUAGGUGAAGGUGAUGGAUACAGAAUCUGAGUCUGAGGGGAGCCUGGUUGACAGAGAGACAAAAAAAGAAAUUUUUUUUUUCUGACUAAAAAAAAAAAGGAAAUUUUGUUAACAAAAUCAAGAAUUUAAAAAAAAUGCUGUGAGAGCUGAUCUAUGCAUCUGGUUUGUGAGCCAGUAUUCUGUGAUGGCUGCAGUUUUUAGAGAUCCUAGUAGCUCUACACAUCUGUCUUCUGCUUUCCUAGAACCUGGGCACCCCAUGGAUGACUCACUGCUGGUUUUGUGUGUGUGUGGCCAUGCUGGAUAAGGAGCUGGCUGCCUCUGUGAACAUCCUACUCAAGGCAUCUUCACUGCUGUACAUCCUUUUGAAAUCCCAGAGAUCUUCAGUCUCCCUGUGGAUUAAGGAGAUGUGCAGUAUUUAAAGUGGCUUCAGGAAGGCAUGGAAGAGGACUGAGUGGGGAAAGCUUUUUGUGCAUGCUGCUGGCUACCUCCAGCGGCUGCCUCCAGCCUCCAUCAGCUGCACUCUGGGGAAGAGGAGGCUGCCUUCUACCUCCCAGCAUCUCUGGAUUUCAUGUUCCUGUCAGCACAGAGGAGCUAAAUGGCCUGUAGAGGCUGAAGGUCUGAGGCUCCUAAAGCUGGAAGAAAAGGCUGGGCCAGUCAGGCCAAGCAAGAACACAGUGUAACUUGUCUCUGAGUGCUUCAUGGUUAAGGGGGCUAAGCAGGCACAAGGGCAUGAGGAUGGUUAUAUGUACAGACUGAGGGGAAGAAGCAGUGAAGAUGAGACUUGCCAUCUUCUUGAGUCAGUAGGCCUGCCUCAGGUGCCUAGGAUGUAAUUGCUCUGCUGCUUCUCAUGGGGAGGAGUGGCCCUCAUGACCUUGUUUACCUGGAAGAGUGUGGGAUGAAUGCCUCCUCCUAUGGGGACUCGCAAGUGCUUUAGCAAAAGGAUAAAUUGCUAAUUGUGGCAUUUCGUGGAUCAGCAGGAUUAUUUCUCCUUGCUAAAGAGGAUUUUGUUGGUCCUGAAUUCUGAGGAGGUGGGACUAGGAAUGGGCUCCAUGAGCCUGUGUAUGACUCAGGGAAUAUUAGGACUUUGGCACAGCCUCAUGGGUUGGGAGUAAGUCUUGGCUCUUCCCUAGCCUGAAUGACAGACAUCAGAUCAUUCUGGUGCUUUGUCCAUGAAGAUGUAGAUUCUGAGCCCACCCAACUAAUCUUUUCACUUGAGCACAGAAACAGCCCCGGGAAUCGGACAGACCCGUGUCUUUCAGGUUUGCUUCACAGAGCCCCAGGGGUUGACAAUAGGUGCCUUGGAGACUGCCUGCAUGGGGAUUUUUAAAAAGCUUUCUUUGUUAAAGGUUUGUAAACCACUCCUCUGAGCCUGUUUUCAUUUUAUAGAUUAUUCAGGGAACUGAACUGCACAGAGAUCCAGAAAGUGGGUAGUGCAGGCUGUAGUGCUGAUAACUACUGUACUACUUGGAUCUUUGUGCUCCCAAAUACCAAAUGGAAGAGGAUCUCUGAGAGUCCUUUGCAAAGAUCUUGUAGGGACUUUAGGCUGGGGCCUUCGGAAAAUUCCAGAGGAUUCCAAUGGAGAUUUUGAGGGACUGACUCAGAAGAACAAAGAGAAUGAUAAUGGUGAUGUCCCUGCUUUUUACAACAGAUCAUGUUCUGAUAUAUAUGCAAAUCUGUGUAAAGUAAACCCUACCUAAAAUGUACUGGGGACCCAAGAUGGACUGCCUGUAUUGCUUCCAGGAUAAAGUCCAAUUUCUAGCUCUGGUUUUUAUAACCUUGCUUCAGCUCACCUUUUCCGUCAUCAUCCCCUCCAUCUCCUCUCCCACGCUGGGAAAUGGAUGGCUGCACUAUACUGUGUGAUGUUAUUGCUAUGUUCAUGCCAUCCCCUCUGCCUGGAAUGCCCUUCUGCAUGAAUGCCUGUGAAAUGUUGUUGCUCCUUUGUAUGGCCUGGCUUCCGUGGUUGGCAGGAAUCUCUUCUUUCGUGGUAUUCCUGUCAUCUUUGUGCAUCACAGUCAGCUUUGUAUUCCUAGCUUGUAAGCUACUUGAGGAUAGGGGCAUGUCUGAAUCUAUUUAAUCUCUUGCACCUGUUUGGCAAAUUGAUGUUUUAAGUAUUUAAAUAACUAAAGCUCUCUCUACAGUACAUACUCACUUUUGAUUUAUGAAUUGGCAAAAUUCAACUUUUUUCCUUGAAUAUUCUUAAAGUGAGAUGAAUUCCAAAGGAGAGUGUUCUGUGUGUGGCCUUCAUUGAGUGGUUUUCUGUUACCAGAAAGCUCUUGGUGGCCUUCCUCUUCCCUGGUGUCAAGGUUGACUGUUAUAGGAAAUGGGAGGGGAGAGGGCCGUUUCUGCCACGCAUUGUCCUAGGUUCUUAACAUUAUUUAAUCCUUAUAAUGCAAUGUUAUCCUCAUUUUACAGAUGAAACCUGAGACCAAAGAACAUGUAACACAUAAAGUACAUUGCAGAGUUAGGAUGUGAACCCAACUCUGAUUCUAAACCUAAUGCUCUCACUCUUUCAUUCAGAGGUUCAGUCAGUUCUUUGUAGGCUGUAGAUCCAGAGAAGCUGCCGUAGCCAACAAUGAAGUUGUUAGUUUUUAAAACAUCUAUGUGGUAAGUUGGUCUGGCACUUAAAAAUGUAUUGUUUCCCAGGCACGGUGGUUCACACCUGUAAUCCCAGCAUUUUGGGAGGCCGAGGCAGGCGGAUCAUUAGGUCAAAAGAUUGAGACCAUCCUGACCAACAUGGUGAAACCCCGUCUCUACUAAAAGUACAAAAAUUAGCUGGGUGUGGUGGCGCAUGCCUCUAGUC